AAUUCUCAACCUGUCUAGUUUUUUUUUAAAGACUUUGACAAGGCUUGGAUUCUGGAAGUUGCUGGCUUUUUGGGUCAGCUCUUCUCAAAUGCAUUAGUGAUGAUCUUUACUAGAUCAGCUUUGGUAUGAUAAUUAUCUAUAUCACUGCUAUAGAAAGAUCUUGCUUCAAAUUGUCUUGUAGGACAAAAUUUAUUGAACUAU
rnacentral:misc_RNA from 1 species